UUUUUUUUUUUUUUUUCUUUUUGCCAUUUCUUGGGCCUCUCCCAAGGCAUAUGGAGUUUCCCAGGCUAGGGGUCUAAUCAGAGCUGUAGCUGCCAGCCUAUGCCAGAGCCACAGCAACGCAGGAUCCGAGCCGAGUAUGUGACCUACACCACAGCUUAGGGCGACGCCGGAUCGUUAACCCACUGAGCAAGGGCAGGGAUCGAACCUGCAAGCUCAUGGUUCCUAGUCGGAUUCGUUAACCACUGCGCCACGACGGGAACUCCUAGAUACAUACAGAAUUUUUUAGAGAUGAAAUGAUAGGUUGUCUGGAAUUUCCUUCAAAAUAACCUAGUAUGGGAGGGGGGAGGACAGAUUCAGAUGAAACACAACUGGUCAUGAGCUGACAUUUGUUGAAGCUGGGGGAUGAACAGUUACUCUCUACUUUUGCAUAUGUUUGAAAUUUAACAUAUUAAAAAACUUGUUUAGGAGUUCUCGCUGUGGCACAACGGGAUCAACGUUGUCUCUGGAGCACUGGGACACAUGUUCAAUCCCCUGCCCAGCAUAGUGGGCUAAGGAUCCAGCAUCAUCACAGCUACAGUUCAGAUCUGAUAACUGGCCAGAGAACUCCAUAAGUGAAGUGUCCAAAAAGAAAAAAUAUAUAUAAAAAAAACUUCUUUAAAAGGCAAGAAUUGAGGGAGUUCUCAUUGUGGCACAGUGGAAAAAAAUCCGACUGGUAUCCAUGAGGAUGCAGGUUCGAUCCCUGGCCUUGCUCAGUGGGUCAGAGAUCCAGUGUUGCCGUGAGCUGUGGUGUAGGUCACAGACGCAGCUUGGAUCCCAUGUUGCUAUGGCUGUGGGUAGGCUGGCAGCUGCAGCUCCAAUUUGACCCCUUGCCUGGGAACCUCCAUAUACCAUGGGUCUGGCCCCAAAAGAAAAAAAAAAAAAAAAAAGCAAGAAUUGAACUUAAAACCUUCAUCUUCCCUCUAGCCCUCCUGGGAGGUAGGUGCUGUGGCAUCUAGCUUUGCACACCUGCAUAAAUGGUAUUUUCUCCUAUAACUACCUGUAUUCUAUUCAGGCCACUCCUGGCCUGUAUACAUUACCUUCAGAGACAGAAUGAUGGAGAAGUGGGUGGGAUUAUAAAGAGGGUGGGACCCCAGCUCCAAGGUUAAGAUUCUCCACAUCCCCAUCCUUCCCAGGGCCAGGAACUCGUAUCGGCCUUGAUUUCUGCCCCUUCUCCUACCUCAGCCCGGACACAAGCCACACAGCCACACUGUGUCCUACUGCUGAAGCACACGUGUGACACAGACACAUAACUCUUCACAACAUUCUCAUGGCGUGUCGCUUCCUUUCAAUCAGAGAUCUUCCUCUAAUUGGGAAUGGGUGCAGAAAUGCAGUGAGAAGGCAGUCAUCAGCUUGCAAGAGUGAGGCAAAAACAGAACAAACUAAGAGCCACUGUUUUUAGCCUUUCUACACUAAAACCAGAGUGAUACAUCUGAACUGCUACUCAAAUCCUGCCCCUCCACUAUCUACCUUUAAGUCUUCUCCUCCUGAGACCAUGUUCGAACUAUCCAGAUGCCUCUGCCUGAUGCAGGUUCCCCCCACCUUACACUGAAGAAUAGCCAACUCAAGAGAUGUCUGCAAAUGACCAUGCAGCAAACUUCUAAUCAGACUCAGCACGGGGUCCACUCCUCCAGGAAGCCUGGGCUGCAUGGGUUUAAGCAUCCAGGGCUCCUGCGGAAGCCAGAUUUACCCACUAGGGCUCCCUGUACACAGAGACCUUCACUUUUCAUCUCCCCUGCCAAACUGGAAGCAGAGACCACCAUGUCCAUUUUCCAUCUCCAGAGUCUGACAAGUGCUCAGCUCACAGGAAGCAGGAAAAAGUAUCUGCAGGCGGGUUGACUGGAACCUCAGACACUGAAUGGAUUUAGUGCAUGACAGAAAAACAAAAUCAAAGAAUAACAAACUAAGACCAACUCUGAGGUAACUUAACACAUGGUUUCCCACCACAGUUUUCACAUUUUCAUACUUAAGUAUUUUAUUAUGUAUAGGAAAAGAUAACAUUAGCUCAUCAAACCUGAAAUUUCACAGAGAGUGUGCUUAAAAUGAGGCACGUAGCCAUGGAAACCCACUCUACACAGACCGUAUGAAGUUGAGCUGAUGCCAGGUGAGCUCAGGAAGGUGACAUGUUACUACGGUAGCCUUGCUGUGAGGAAAGACAAAGCCAGUGUCAUCAGCGAGGCAAUCAGAUCCUGGAUUUUAAAUACCCCUUCUCACCAUUUUUGUGCUUGGCCUGAUUUCCUAACCUUACCUAUGCAGAUACUUAAGCUAAGAGAGGCCUAGUAAGUUGUUGGAAAUCACACAGCAGGAAGACGAGAGCGCUGGACAGGAUCCCAUGGAUCCUCAGUGCCAGACUGAUGCGUUUUCACCUCACUGACCCCCUCCCUCCGUCUAAAAAGUGGGUUGAAACUACUUGUUCAUAUUUCCCAGCAAAUCGAAGCCUCACAAAUCAACACAUCGUACAGUCGGUCACCUCACUUAAAGGGGGCAAUCGCUUAAACUUAUAAACAUGCUCGAGCUUUAAAAUGGCUAUACCUAAAGUACCCUAAGAUUAAAACACUGUGUUUUUACACACAACUCUCCUAUUUGAUUGGCUAUUUAUUACUGGCAGUUCUUUCCAGCAAUUCUCUGCUUUUGCUCUAUUUAAGGGCUCAGUCUUUAAGAGCCAGUCUGGGUCACUCAUCUUAUAAAAAAAGUUUCUUCAAUGCUGAAAUAACUAAACAGUAACUUUUAUGACUGCUUAAAUAUAUAGAUCCACACAUGCCUGUAAACACAUAUGGUAACUAAGAAGUCAAGGUACUAAUGCCUAACAGUGGUUAUCUUUGGAUGGUAAGAUUAACCAACUGUGUAUUGGUUUAUAUGAGUUUUUCAUUUCUCUAUAAUAAACAUACAUCAGGUUUAAUAAAAGGAAAAUAAUUAUGUUUUACUGAUACUAUUUGAAAAAAACCAAAACCCUGUUUGUUUUUCUGAACCCAUCUUUGACCUAGAAAACAUUUUCUUUUUUCAAAUAAGCAGUGUUUUCCUAUUAAGUGUACACUCCGUGAGAACGACAUUCAUUAUUUAGGGUCAAGUUAAGUUCUCUCUACAUGCUAGCGAAAGGUUUUAUUUGUUGUUUGUUUUCCCCCGCCUACUCAAUUUUGAUGGGUAACCUGUAUUAUUGCCUCUCUUUACCUGGUUUGAUUUAUGAUCUUGGAAGUCAGGUCAUUCUCUGCUAGGUCGAAGAAAGAAAGGAAAGGAAAAAAAAAAGGUUUCCCUACCUAAUACCUGAUAAAAUAUCUGAAAAGGUCAUGGCAGACCUUGACAGAAACACAUACAAUUUCAACCCAAUCUGAUAAGACAGCAACUAGAAAACUUUUAUCAGAAGAAAACGUAACUUGCCAUUUCCCAGCUCAAUUGACUGAACUUUUUUUUAUCUGAAAUGACAGACAUCAUAAGAUAGGAAAAGCUGCAGAUAAGAAA
ensembl:lncRNA